rnacentral:rRNA from 1 species
AUUGAACGCUGGCGGAAUGCUUUACACAUGCAAGUCGAACGGCAGCACGGACUUCGGUCUGGUGGCGAGUGGCGAACGGGUGAGUAAUGUAUCGGAACGUGCCCAGUCGUGGGGGAUAACGUAGCGAAAGCUACGCUAAUACCGCAUACGAUCUAUGGAUGAAAGCGGGGGAUCGCAAGACCUCGCGCGAUUGGAGCGGCCGAUAUCAGAUUAGGUGGUUGGUGAGGUAAAGGCUCACCAAGCCGACGAUCUGUAGCUGGUCUGAGAGGACGACCAGCCACACUGGGACUGAGACACGGCCCAGACUCCUACGGGAGGCAGCAGUGGGGAAUUUUGGACAAUGGGCGCAAGCCUGAUCCAGCAAUGCCGGGUGCAGGAUGAAGGCCUUCGGGUUGUAAACUGCUUUUGUACGGAACGAAACGGCGAGCUCUAAUACAGUUUGCUAAUGACGGUACCGUAAGAAUAAGCACCGGCUAACUACGUGCCAGCCGCCGCCGUAA